rnacentral:rRNA from 1 species
UACAGAGGGUGCGAGCGUUAAUCGGAAUUACUGGGCGUAAAGCGCACGUAGGCGGCUUGGUAAGUUAGAGGUGAAAGCCUGGAGCUCAACUCCAGAAUUGCCUUUAAGACUGCCGAGCUAGCAGGUGAGAGAGGUGAGUGGAAUUCCGAGUGUAGAGGUGAAAUUCGUAGAUAUUCGGAAGAACACCAGUGGCGAAGGCGGCUCACUGGCUCAUACUGGACGCUGAGGUGCGAAAGCGUGGGGAGCAAACAGG